UGCUUAAUUCGAGGCAACGCGAAGAACCUUACCUGGGUUUGACAUGCAUGGAUUAACCUUUCGAAAGAUAGGCCACGCCUUCGGGUGGAACAUGCACAGGUGCUGCAUGGCUGUCGUCAGCUCGUGCUGUGAAGUGUCGGGUUAAGUCCCUUAACGAGCGCAACCCCUAUCGUUAGUUGCUAACGCGUCAUGGCGAGUACUCUAGCGAGACUGCCGGUGUCAAACCGGA
rnacentral:rRNA from 1 species